AUAAAUUGACUUCCUGUGCCUGACCUGCAGGUGGCGGCCAUUCUGUUUCCUGGCCAUGGCUUCACUAAUUUAGGCCUGCUGGGCUCACGGGAAGCCCUUCAAAAAACGACUCCUUUCAGAUUAACAUGUAAAAUUUAAUUACGGAGGUCCAGGCUGAGAUGAUGUCUAAAGCCAUUUACUAAGCCCGGCGGCCUCCCCGUCCUGGGGCUAAGGAGGCCGAAGCAGAGCUUUGAUCAUUAACCGCUGAGAAAAUCUCAGCUUGCAUAUUAAGAGAAGUGGCAGUGCUUUUAACCCCUUUGGGAUGAGGACAGCGGACAUGGAGACAGCCAAACGGAUGUAGAACCUCCUAUGAACUUCAAGAGAACAUUUCCGGGAGGAGCAGGUUGUGGCUUCCUAGGAGACCUUGGGCCUGGCUUUGCCUAUAAUCACAUUUCCCCUCCCGGGAAGGAGGGCUGGGGGGGGGGGGCGGCAGGGAGGAGGGGCUUAAACUCUACGGGCACAAACUUCUGGGACUUCUGCCACCUUUGAAGCCUGUUGUGAAGCUGUCUUUCCACACAGGACCCAGCUCUGGUUUUAAUGAUCAGAAGGCCUGAAAGGACUGUCUUCUCACCCGGAUGGGCCCUUGGCAGACUCCUGGCCUGCCUUCCACAGCUCUCU
ensembl:lincRNA